UCUCCGUAGGUGAACCUGCGGAGGGAUCACUACAGAGUUCUCGCCCUCACGGGUAGAUCUCCCACCCACUGUUAUCGUUACUGUCGUUUCUUUGGCGGGCCGCCGGGUCCCCGGCCGCCGGCGCCUAGCUGCCGGCGCGCGCCCGCCAGAGGCCUUCAAACUCUGAAUGUUAGUGUCGUCUGAGUACUAUAUAAUAGUUAAAACUUUCAACAACGGAUCUCUUGGUUCUG
rnacentral:misc_RNA from 1 species